rnacentral:rRNA from 1 species
UACAGAGGGUGCGAGCGUUAAUCGGAAUUACUGGGCGUAAAGCGCGCGUAGACGGUUUUGUAAGUCAGAUGUGAAAUCCCUGGGCUCAACCUGGGAACUGCAUUUGAUACUGGGUUGCUUGAAUUCGGGAGAGGAUAGCGGAAUUCCCAGUGUAGAGGUGAAAUUCGUAGAUAUUGGGAAGAACACCGGUGGCGAAGGCGGCUAUCUGGACCGACAUUGACGCUGAGGCGCGAAAGCGUGGGGAGCAAACAGG